GGCAAGUAAUCUUCGCACUGUAUGUCGUAACGAGAGUAGUCCAGUAGCUUGCUCCGGGAUGGUUUAGCGGCGGACGGGUGAGUAACACGUGGGUAACCUGCCUGUAAGACUGGGAUCACUCCGGGAAACCGGGCCUAAUACCGGAUGCUUGUUUGAACCGCGUGUUCAGAUGUAGAAUGUGAUCUCGACUAAGAACUGCUGAUGGACCCUGGGCGCAUUCUCUAGGUUGGUGAGGCAACGGUUCUCCAGGUCAACGGUGCGUAGCUGGCCUUGAGAGGGUGAUCGCCUACACUGGUACUGACAUACGCCCCUGACUCCGACGGGGGGACCGGGGGGGGGCUUCUUCCCGCACUGCUGAAUGCUUGGACGAAGCAACCCCGGGUUGGGUCAAGGAUGGUGUUCUGAACGCAACGUCUCGUUGUUAGGGGUGACGAAGUCCCUUCCCAAUCGGGCGGUUCCUUUGCCGGAGCCUAACCCGAAACCCACGGCUUACUAAGGGGCUAUCAGCCCCCUGGAAUGCUUAUUCGGGAGCCUUCGACUGGAAUAAUGGGCCCAAAGGGGUUCGCAGGCCGGUUCCCUUAAGUCUUAAGGUAAAAGCCCUCGGUUCAAUCCUGCAGGGGCAGUUGGGAAUUUGGGGAACUUUGGGUGCGGAAGAGGAGAGGAGGAAUUCCACGUGUUGGGGUGAAAUGCGUAGAGGCUGUGGGAGGAAACACCAUUGUAAAAGGUGACUCUCCUGGGCUUGUUACUUGACCCCUGAGGGAGCGAAAGCGUGCGGGAGCGGACCACGUUUCAGAAUACCCUGGUCAGUCCACCGCCGUACACGAUUGAGUCGCUAAGUGGUAGGAGUGCUUUCUCGUCCCCUUUAGUGCCUGCAGCUUACCGCAGUUAUGCAACUCCAGCCCUCGCGGGGUUACAGGUCGCAGGACCUGAGACUCAGAGUAAAUGGACGGCGGUUCGGACCAGUCUGAUGGCAGCAAUAUUGCUGAAUUCGAGUCCACUCUAAGCAUCUUAUACCAGUGCU
rnacentral:rRNA from 1 species